GCGGUCGCGGUGGAGCCGGCGCCCGCAGCAGCUGCGCAUCUCGCGUCUCCCGCGGGGCGCUUGGGAGACGGCGGGCCGGGUGCGUGGUCCCGAGGAAGGCGGCCGCGGGAGGUGGCGCCGAGGUGUUGGGAGGAGGAGGCGGGAAGGCCGGAGUCGUAAUUCGGAAGAGGGCAGGUGCUGCCGGCGACGCCACUGAGCUCUGUCUCUGAGGAACAGCAAAUGUCAGAGCAGAGGGAGGCUGGCCCAGCCGUUCCUGGAGCCGCUGCAGCACUCCUUCCCCAUUCUGGUGCAAGGACAGAGAGGAGGGGGCUGCGGCCCCACAUCCUCUCCCACCCACAGCCCCUGUGGGAAGGGCAGCCGGGCUGCCUCAGGCAGCUGGACAGAGGCUGCGUGGGGCCAGGGUGGUGAUGCUGCCAUGGCCCCUCCCCGCUGCCCAGUGUGGGAAGAAGAAUUCAGAGCCAGGCAAGUCUCUGUGUGUGUCUCUGGCAUGGAAGGAGCAGGUAGAGACAGCGCCAGGGCAGCUAGGGCCUGGUGUUGGUUGCUUUGGUAUUGGCUGCGAGAGGGCUGGACCUCCAGCCCUUUGGGUUUGGUUCCACCCCUGGCCUGUCCCUGGCACUUGACAACUGUGUCUGUGUGCUUAUUGGUGCCACCAUGUUAUAUAACGCUUAUAUAAUCUCCCAGGGCGAGUGCUGUGUCUCUGCUCUCAGGUCACGCAGGCACUGUGUCCGUGUGGGAGGCAGGAUCUGUGGAAGCUUGUGGGUAGACUGACUCCCCCCACUGCCAGCCAGUGCCAGCCUGGCUCCUUCUCCUGAUCUUGGGCAUAGACGGGGGCUGGAAGAAGAGGGACCCAUGCCACUGUGUGGGGCUAAGAGAGAGGGUUUGGUUUGGCUGGGAGUCUUCUGUUCUUGUCCUUCUAAUUUCCCUCACUCAGUGGACUGGUAGAGGGGAUGCCUUUCUUGGGCUUUGAGCUUAGUGCGGCCUGGCAUGGCAGGUGAGUGUGGUGAGAUGACCUCCAGGAUGUUGCAGUGGAAGAAUGCAUGGUACUUGGGGAUGGAUAAAGAGAGGGAGAAAUGAGCUCUGCCUUUGAGGUGUUGAGGAAGCGUAGCUAGGAGGGUGGCAGUGACGUUUUAAGAAAUUCAGAGCGGGGCUAAGGAAUGGUCAGGAAAGGGCGUACGGAGAAGUGGAUCAGACAGCAAAGAUAAACAUGGUGUUAUUUUACUGUACUCUCCACUGGGCUGUCCCUGGUUACCAGGGAAACAGAAGCAGUGAUGAAAAUCAUGCCUUUCGUUCAGUGGAAAAAUCUGGCUCCUCCUCCCGCCUCUUCCUUCUUUAAUUGCCUGCGACCUGUGGGGACAGUGAUGCCCCCAGGGAUCAGAGAUCCCCUUCUUGCCCCCCCCGUCCCAAAUAUUUUAUUAUCUUUACCUUCCGGCAUCCCUUACCUGCCCACAGAGCUUGGCAAAAGACAGUUGCGUAGGAGUUGGAGUAGAUGGGGGGAAGGGCAUGGACGUCAUCCCAGGGCAGGGUGAGCGGAGCGUGGGCAGAGAUGUGGAUGCAGAAUGACUGGCACACGAGGGGGUCAGGCAUGGAUCAGCUAGAUAGAGCUGAGAGCUUGUUUCUGGGGUGCUAGGAGCAGGGGGUGGGAAGAGUAAGAUAACGGAGGGCCUGUGGAGCCUGGCAGUCUGGGCUCCAGGUAGUAGGGAACAGGAAGGCCUUGCAGUUUCUUAUGUAGUCCUGUUUCCAUGAGGAAAGCUUGGACUCAUGCAUUCCGCCUUUAUCGUAUGCCUGCUAUGUUAGGUGAGGUUUUGGGAACUGGGGAGAUGGCGAUAAGUAGCACUGGGCCUCGACCUUGAAAAGCUUACCGUGGAUGGAGAAGGAUGAGUGUGUGGAGGAAGAUGAGUCUGGCAUUGCUAGCAGCCUGGAAUCUGAGGCCCCAUGCAGGCGACUGGCACUGUUCCAGAUUCAAGGUAAUGGACCAGGGUGGAGCCUGUGGGAAUGGAGAGGAAGAGGUAGCUGAGAGAGCCACUUUGGCCUGGGGACAGGGCAUGGAGAAGAGAAGGUGCCGAGAUCUUGAGCCUUAAUGAUUGACGGAAAUAGAAAUCAGGGUUCAGACUUGUUUCGGGGAGUCACGAUUUAUUUUUAGACAUGCUGCCUUCAAAGCGAUGGCGUGGCAUCCAAAUAGAAAUGUUUACGAGCAGGCAAAUAAAGUGAGCUGUGGAAGUCAGCCGUGGGAAGAGAUUUGGGGGAAAUGAUAUUAUGAUGCCAUCAGAGUGCGAGGUUAUUGAGAAGGCUUGUAGAGAGAGAGAGGCCCCCAAGGCUUUGGCGUGUGUGCCUAGAAUUGGAUUAGGCUGUAUCCCUCGUAUGUUUGUCAUCCCAGGGCCUAUCCAGACUUCUGGACCUGUUUGUGCCAGUAUCCACUCAAAUCUUCUAUUAGUUCACAUCUGUUUUUGAAGUUUGGUUUCUGUUCAGGUUUUCUUCUCCCUAGUAAUAAAGUACAGGUACUGCUGGAAAGACAGAUACAUAACAUACUUACCUCCCCAAACUCUGUCCUUGACCUUUGGCGUACCAUUCACUCAGCCCUAGGAUGUGCUGUGGAGAUGGGCACAGAUCCCUGGCCUCCACCAGCAGUGCUGCUCUGCUUCCUGUUCACUCAUCGCUCUGUUGGAGUAAGAGCCCUGGACAGAGAGACAGGAGGCCUUUGCCAGCUACAUGAUCUUCGGCAAGUCACUUUCUCUUCCAGGCCUUAGUGGCUAGUAUAAGGGAUCUAGUUUCUUCUGGCUCUAAAAUGUCUGGAUUUGAUGUCUAGAGGCUUUUCCACCCUAGCCCAAGUGCACGGCUUUUGAACAAGCAGCCCAGAUUUCUUUGGUGCCUUGUGGGAGGCAGAGGGAGUAGCAGGGUGGAGGCCUCCAGGUUGUCAGCCUCCUCAGCACCGUAUGGUAUGCUGGCCCUGUUCCCCUUGGGAGCAUGGAAAUGCUGGAAGAGUAGGUUUCCCUGUCGACCAGGGAUAAACAAACUGUGGCCCGUGGGUCAGAUACCUUUUUCUGUAAAUAAAGUUUUAUUGGAAUACAGGCAUGCCCAUUUCUUUGUGUGUUGGCUGUGGCUGCUUCCAUGCUGCAGUGCUGGAGUUGAAUAGUUGCAGCAGAGCUCGUAUGACCCGCAAGUCUAAAAUAUUUAUUAUUUUACUCUUUAAAAAAAAGUUUGCCAACUCCUGCCAUACCUGUUGUAGUCGAUUUUGACUCAUAGUGACUCUAUAGGACAGAGAGUCAAACUGCUCCGUACAGUUUCCAAGAAGUGGCUGGUGGAUUUGAACAGCUGACGUUUUGGUUAGCAGCCAGGUUCUUAACCACUAUGCCACCAGGGCACCACUUCUACCAUAAAAGCAAAAACCCAUUGCUGUCGAGUCGAUACCAACUCAGAGCAAUGCUAUAGGACAGAGUAGAACUGCCCCACAGAGUUUCCAGGGAGCGCCUGGUGGAUUCAAACUGCUGACCUUUUGGUUGGCAGACGUAGCCGUCUAUGCCACCAGGGUUUCCACUUCUGCCAUAAAACCUGCCAUAGACCACCAUAAAAAUGGCUCUCCAUUGGGGAUGCUUACUAUGGCUGUUUCAGAUUUCUCCGGUUCUUGAAGAUUCUGUAGUGUGCUCUCCUUGGCAGUCCUGUGAGAGGGUGAUCUGGCAGUUGAGAUGGUAGAUUAUUGAAGUUAGCUCAAAGAUACGGGGUCCCUGUAUCAAAGACAAGGAUCCCUUUGUAUUUUUAGUCCCUUCCUGGAGCCUGGAGGGUACUUCCCCCCACCCACCCCUUUGAGCCAGGAGGCCUGAGUUCCUUAGCAGGGCUGGAUUGUGACUGGGUUUGACGAGCUGCCCUCCCUGUCAUUCUCAUUUCCCAGGCUGGGCAGAGGAGAUUGGACCGAGCCAUAUCCCAUCUCUGGUAAGGAGAAGGGAAGACUUGUCAGCUCUGCUAAGGCCUGCAGUGUAUUUCCCCGAUAGCUAUGCUCUCUUGCUUCCGGUCUCACUGUCCGUUUUGGAGCCACUGCCCUAGGGAUGGUCUGCAGAGAGAGCUGCAGCACAGCCUGGUUUGUGUGUUCCAGCCGGGCACUCGCUACCCUGCCGCACAAGCCCCUGGGGCCGGUGUGUGCUGGUCCUUGGCAUCAGAAUUGGUACUCAGUGUUUUGAAGUUAAGGAGUCACUGGGUAGUACAAAUGGUGAACACACUCGUCUGCUAACUGGAAGGUUGGCCGUUCAAAUUCACCCAGAGGCACCUUGGAAGAAGGGCUGCUGAUCUGUUUCUGAAAGGUCAGCCAUUGAAAACCCUAUGGAGCACAGUUCUAUUCUGACACACAUGGGGUCGCCAUGGGUUGAAAUCUACGUGACGGCAACUGGCUCUAUUAUUUUUAUUUCUUAAAUUCUCUCAGCUGGCCUUUACUGAAUUUUCUCAUGUCCCGAUUUCCACCUUUUUGACCUGGUCCUCUGUUCUUCACUGUGCUGGUGAAAUUCCUGGCCAGGAUCAGAGCUAAUUUAGAGCUUCAGCUGCUACAAAACAGCCACACAGCAGUUGGGUCGGUUCUUCUCAGGGCUAGCAUAGGAAGUGAGACAUGUCUGUGGCGGGAGGAAACCACGUGCUUGCAGCUGGAAGGGAGGAGGCUGGCAGUGGGAGGAGGGAGCAGACAACCCAGAAUAGCAAAGAAGACAGAACCUAAGCACACCCAGAGCUGCUCUGAGCUGGUAAUGGUAAGCCUGGCUGCAGGAGCAUUACUUCACACCUCCCCUUACAAGAAUUUCCCUGGAGGCUGGGUCCCUGACUCUCUUCUCUCCUUAUCAAAAACCCUGUCUAGAUUGCUUUUCCUGUGUAGCGUUGAGGAUGACCCCAUACUUCAUGGGCUUAAAUUAAUGCUGGGUCAAGUGCACUGACUUGGAGGCAUUCCUUUCAUUGACCAGGUGUUUAUUAAGGUCCGUGAUGCAUAGGGCACUGUUUGAGGUUCUGGAGAGACGAGGUAACCAGAAGCGAUUCGGAGGCUCCUCUGGAAGGUCUGUGGGCUGCUGAGUCAGUUCUAAUAACGAUCUACACUAGAUCACAGGCUUCAGGAGAGCAUGUCUGUUUCUCUUGCUGAAACCCCAACGUGGGGUACAGCGCUUGGCACACAGUAGGCAUGCGGGUAUGGGGUAGGCUGCCCCAUCCUUAUUUGGUCAGUUCUGGAAGUGUGCAGGAGGGGUCUGAGCUCACGCUGGCAAUUGUGAGAAUGUGGGGGAGGGUAGACGGACCUGAACAUGCUGGUGAUGUGACCGCUGUUCAGGAGGAAAGGAUAGGAACAGGUGAAGCCAGGUGGAGAUGAGAAGCCACUGGCAGUUGGACCAUGAGAAAGGAGGGGCAUGACAAGAUGCCUAGGCAGCCGACGCUGGGUAAAGCAGAGGCUGGGAUAGGACGUGGGGGAAGGGAGACAGUGGAGGGAGAGUAAAAACCAGGUGAGAGGAAACAGGGAGGUGUUUCCAGGCCCAGGAGGGAAGCAGAGAUGAAGCAGGCGAGUGAGGUCAAAAUGGUGGCAGUAAUGACAGGAUGGGACCUUGAGCUCUGUUCUGUAGGUCUCCUCUGAAGUGACUGUGUCCAGGUAUGACCAGAAAUACCACUGGGCUAAUUUCUUGUGGUGGGGCAGAUGCAAGGACAUUAACUGCGGCUUGAGAUUAUGGUUACUCUUCUUUUUUUAAUUUUAUUAUGGAAAUUUUUCAAUGUAUAUGGAGGUAGAGAGAGUUAGUAUAAUAAACCAACAUGUUUCUGUCACCAAGUUUCAAUGCAUAACAACACACGGCCCCUCUGACUUCAUCUGUACCCUGUCUUAGUCAUCUAGUGCUGCUGCAACAGAAAUACCGUAAGUGGGUGGCUUUAACAAAGAGAAGUUUAUUCUCUCAUAGUUUAGGAGGCUAGAAGUCCAAAUUCAGGGCACCAGCUCCAGAAGGCUUUCUUUCUCUGUUGGUCUGGGAGAAGGUCCUUGUCAGUCUUCCCUUUAUCUAGGAGCUUUUCAGUGCAGGGACCCUGGGUCCAAAGGACAUGCUUUGCUCCCAGUGCUGCUUUCUUGGUGGUAUGAGGUCCCGCUGUCCCUCUGCUUUUUUCUCUCUUUUAUAUCUCAAAAAAGAUUGUUUUAAGACACAACCUGAACUUGUAGGUUGAGUCCUGCCUUAUUAACAUACCUGUAGCUAAUCCCACCUCAUUAAAUCCUAUAGAUAGGAUUUACAACACAUAGGAAAAUCACAUGAGAUGACAGAAUGGUGGACAAUCACACAAUACUGGGAAUCAUGGGCUAGCCAAGUUGACACGUUUUUGGGGGACACAAUUCAAUCCAUAACAACCCUCACCUGCUUUUUUUCUGCCCCCUUCUUGAAUGAAGUAUUUUAAAGGAAAUCCCAGAUACUGUGUCCUUUCGUCUAUAAGUAUUAUCUUAAAUAGUAACUUGCAAAAACAUAACCCCGUAGCUCCAGUAGCGUUAUCAAACUCCCAGGGUGGUGUAACCAGUUAAGCACUUGGCUGCUAACCAAAAGGGUGGAGGUUUGAGUCUACCCAGAGGUCCUUGGAAGAAGGGCCUGGCAGUUUGCUUCCAAAAAAUCAGCCGUUGAAAGCCCUAUGGAGCACAGUUCUCUCUGACACAUGUGGGAUUGCCAUGAGUUGGAAUUGACUUGAGGGCAACUGGAAUUGGAAUAGUAUUAUCACAUCUUGAAAAACAAUCAAAAUAUCAGCCAUCCAGUUAGUGUUUAAAUAUCCCUGAUUGUCUCAAAAAAAAAAAAAAAAUGACCAUAAUUUUUAUUAAAAGAGGCUUUGAGGUUUAUCAUCAACUAAAUGAAAUGUGUGAAUCUUGUCUGGAGGCUGAUUCAAAACAACCACCAUUAGUGGUUCCUAUCCCUUCCUCCUGAACAGCAGUCACAUCAUCAGCAUUUAGUUGAUGAUAAAUCUCAAAGCCUGUUUUAAUAAAGAUUAUGGUCAUUUUUAAACGAAUUUAUGUUUUGUAGUUCUGCCUUUUAGGUUCACUUAGCUGCCUGUCACCCCCAGUCAGCUGCCAGCAACAGUUUUCUUGAGUUUGUUGAACCAGAUUGUGAUUUUGAGCAUUCUUAAUCACCCCUUUUGUCUUCACAGGGGAUGUAACUAGUCAGUUAUUUCUUCUUCUGAUAACUAUACCUUGAGAACUUGCUGUGUCUCAGGCACUGUACCGGGCACUGGGAAUACACCUCUAAAAAGGCAGUAGGGCCCUGUCCUCAUGGAGCUUAUGGUCUAACCACCUGAGAGCUGUUUGUGGGUCUCCUCACUGCAUUUUUUCCCCAGAUGUUCAUCGCAACUGACCUGUAUGUGGCUGUCACUUCUGUGUUGGUAGAUCUGUGGUAUUCUGGUGAUGUGGUUGUUAGGUACCAUAGAAUCAGUUCCGACUCAUAGCAACCCUAUUUACAACAGAAUGAAAUGCUGCCCGAUCCUGUGACGUCCUCACAAUCCUUAUGUUUGAGCUCAUUGUAACAGCCAUUGUAUUAGUCCAUAUGAUUCAGAGUCUGCCUCUUUUUCACUGACCCUAUACGAUGAUGUCCUUCCCCAGGGACUGGUCCUUUAUCAUAAUAUGUCCAAAGUACAUGAGAUGAGGUCUUGCUAUCCUUGGGCUUGGUGUUUGAGUUCUUACGCUGUUGUGUCAUGUGGCUGAUGAGAGGUGCCCCUAGAACUGUUCAAGAAGCCAGGUGUGAUUUCUGUGGUAGGUCCCUGUUUCGUAACCAUGAGAUCUGCAUAGUCUUUCGAUGGCGCCGUGAUUGACUUGUGUGUAUUCGUUUAACACUCUUGGGCUUGAGUCUUUGUAGCUGUGAAAGUUAAAAUGGAGACCUUGCUUAACAGACGAACUGGAGAGAGGCCAAAGGAAAAUAUCUGAGAGGUGCUCUGAACUGUUAAAAAGGGCUGGACAGAUGCUAGGCUUUUAUUUUUCCUGGAUCCUUUAUUGUAUACCCAAAACCCAUUGCUGUCAAGUCGAUUCUGACUCAUAGUGACCUUUAUUGUAUAAGGUGACGUAAAUAUACCAUGGUUUUUGUUCCCCAUCACUGAAGGCUACUUAGUUUGGAAUUUGAUGAUAUAUUUUAUUUUCUUCCAGUUUAGUGGCCUUCAAUUAUGUUGAUCAUGUACCCCUGUUGGUUAAAACUUUUGAGCAACUCCCAUGUAAGAGAGAGAGGGAGAGAGUGAGAGAGAAUUUAUAAUUUAUAUAUAGUCCUUGGAAACUCUAUGGGGCAGUUCUACUCUGUCCUAUAGGGUCACUAUGAGUCGGAAUCGACAGCACUGGGUUGGGUUAUAUAGUAUUGCAGUACUAAGGAAUUAUACGUAUUAUAAAAUACAAAAUUAAAAAAAAAAUACAUGGAAUAUGUUGUAUUCUACUACCCCUGGGCAGCACAAACUAUUUGCACUUGGCUACCAGCCUAAAGGUUGGUGCUUUGAACCCACCCAGUGGCACUGCAGAAGAAAGGCCUGGCUUGGCAAUCUGCUUUUAUAAAGAUUACAGCCAAGGAAACCCUACGGAGCUCAGUUCUACUCUGUAACAUGUGUGGUUGCCAUGAGUCAGAAUCGACUCUGCGGCAAGGUUUUUUUUUUUUCACUUAGCCUCCUGCAUGGACUGUUGAUGGCCCUGUCUGGUGGCAGCCCUACUUUGCGCUAGAUUUCAACUCCUCUCACAUAUGCAGGGACAUCAGUCCAGCAGUUCCCCUCCCUUUUUCUUGCAUCACCAGUUUUUUCCUCUCUAUUGGGUUAUUUCUGUCAGCACACUAUUUUUCUCGUCUUAAAAAACCUCCUUUGAUCCCACCUCUUCCAGCUACUGCCCCACUUGUCUGCCCCUCAGUUGGGUUUCCUGUCCUUGCUAUCUUCGGUUUCUCUCUUGAAUUGGUCUAGUUGGACUUUGCCUCCACCACGCGAGGUGAGACUGACAAGGUCAAUGUGACCUCCACACUAGUAAUCUAGUGGUCACUUCAUAGUCUUCAUCUUCUUAGCUCUGCAGCAGCAUUUGGCACAGCUGGUCACACCCUUUCCUUGAAGCUCUUUCCUCUCUUGGCUUGCAGGACGUACGCUUCUGCUUGUCUUUCUCGUUGGCUGUUCUUCCCAGGCCUCAUCUCUGACCUCUAAACACGAGAAGGCCCUGGGUUGUCUCUUCUCUGUCUUUUCUGGUUUAAGGCUGUGAGACAGGCAUUUGUGAUCUUCUGCUGUCUCAUGGCUUUAAACACCAUCUUUAUGAAUGUUGUUGGGAUUUGCUUCAAAGUAAUCCUGAGGGGUCAGGUGGCGGGUGAAAUCAACAAGAUUGGCCAUGGGUUAAUAAUUGUUGAAGCUGGGUGACAGGUACCUGGGGGUUCAUUACACUGUUUUCUGUAGUUUUAUGUAUGUUUGAAAUUUUCCAUGAUGAAAGUUAGAAAGAAAAAAACUGUUAAUGAUCCCCAAUUAUUUGUCCCUAGCCCAGCCUCUUUCCCAGUCUGCAGGUCUGUGUGUCCUUCUACUUAGCAUUUCAAGUCGGCUAUUACUAGACAUUGCAUACCUCAUAUGCCCCGGACUGAGCUCCUGACUUGGCCACCCAAACAUGUUCUUCCUGCACUCCUCGCCACCUCAGUUACAGAAAUGCCACCCCUCCAGUUGUUCACCCAAAAGAACUGUGGUCGUACUUCUCUCUCUGUUUCUCUCUCAUAUCCUGCAUCCAGCCCAUCAGCAAAUCUUGCUGACUCUCCUGCAAAGUAUUUCCAGGAGUUGGCCAAUCAGAACUCCGUCCGUUGCUCCCACCCUGGUCCAAGCCACUGUUAUCUCUCGCCUGCUUCUCCUUUGCCCCUUAACGGCCUGUGCUCCUGACAGCAGCGAGAGGGAUCCUGUGAAACGUAAGUCACACCGUGCCCUCCUGGCACAGAAUCCUGCUGUGCCUUCUCUUCUCACUCAGUAUGGCCAGUCCUUUGAAUACACCGGUCCUGCACCCACAGAUUCAACCAACCGUGGAUCGAAAAUAUUUGCGGAAAAAAGAAAGUACAGACUUAUUUUUCUCGUCACUGUUCCCUAAACCAUACAGUAUAGCAGCUAUUUACGCAGCAUUUAUGUUGUAUUAGGUAUUCGAAGUCAUUUAGAGGUGAUUUAAAGUAUGCAGGAGGAUGUGCCUAGAUUAUAUGCAAAUACUUCACCAUUUUGUAGAAGGGACUUGAGCAUCCAUGGAUUUUGGUAUCUGCGGAGUCCUGGAACCAAUCUCCCAUGCAUAUGGAAGGAUGACUGUAUAAGCCAUAGUCCUUAUGGUGGUCUACAAGAUCCUGUAGUUCCUAUCACUGCUGUCCAGUAGAAAUAUAUUGUGAGUUACACAUGAGGGCUACAUAUGUCAUUUAAAAUUUUCCGGGUAGCCACAUUAAAAAAGGAAAAUGAAGCAGGUAAAAUUCAUUUUAAUAUUUUAUUAAACUCAGCCUACUGAAAAUACUGUCAUUUCUGAGGCAUGUUGCAUUGUCUCUGGUACUAAGUCACACUCGCAUAGCUCGGUUGCCGCGGCAGCAUUUUGUGUGCUCAGUAGCUGCAUGUGGCGAGUGGCUGCCGCGUUGGCAGUGUAGGUCUACAUGAGAGGGCCCCGCUCAACUUCUCUUUCUUUACCUUUUGCUACUCUUCCCUUCUUUCACUUUGCCCCAGCCACAUUGGCCUCCUUGAUGUUCUUCAGAUAAACUAGGUAUUUCCUGUUUCAGGACCUUUGCACCUUCUGUUCCCUCACCUUUGCACCUUCUGUUCCCUCCAUUUGGAAUGUUUUUCCUCAGAUAGCCUCAGGCUGACUCUCACUUCCUUUGGGUCUGUGCUCAGACGCUAAACCUUCGCGUUGGGGCUCCCCUUCACCUGACAUUCUCCAGCAUUCAUUCCUUGGGUCCCUUCUCUGCUCUGUGUUUUCUCCAUGGCACUGUCAUCAUUUAGCAUACUCUGUAUUUCUGUUGCUUAGUCUGUAUUUCUCUUUCUCCCCAUUGGAAUGUGAGCACUGUGAGAGCAGGAAAUUUUUUUUUUUAUUUUUUAAUAUCUUAUUGUGCUUUUGGUGAAAGUUUACAUGGCAAAUUGGGUUCCCAUUUAACAAUUUUUAUACGAAUUGUCAUUAUUUCCUAAUCCAUACAGUAUAAUAGCUAUUUUCAUAUUCACAGUGUGACAUCAUUUUCAUUAUUUCCGUUCUGUUUGUUCCACUUCCAGUACUGUAGUUUCUCUGCCCACCUAACCUUCUCAUCUUUAUUUUAGAGUCAUUAUUGACCAUGUGGUCUCAUAUAAAUAAUUUUUUACAGAAGUACAGUACUCAUUGACGAUAUUCUUUAUUUUAGGAGCCAAUCUGUUGUUUAGCUAAAAGGUUAUCUUGGGAUAGUUUCAGUUCAAGGUUUAAAGAGUAUCUUAGGGUGAUAGUCUCAGGGAGUCCUUUAGUCUCAACUAGUCCAGUAAGUCUAGGCUCUUUAAGAAUUCGAAGUUCUGUGCCAUAUUUUUCUCCCAUUCUGUCAGGAUCCAUAUAUCGUGGCCCAGGUCAGAACAGUCGGUAGUGGUAGCCAGGCACCAUCUAGUUCUUCUGAUCUCAGGGUAGGUGAGGCCAUGGUUUGUGCAGACUGUUUGUCCCGUAGACUGUUUUCUUCUCUGAGUCUCCGGUGUCCUUCUUUCUCCGCUCUGAACAAAUAGAGACCAGUAGUUGUAUCUUAGAUGGCCAGUCAGUCACAAGGAGAGCAGGGAUCUUUGUCAGUUUUGUUGCCUGCUGUAUUUCCAGAGCACGGAAUAGUGCCUGGCACGUACAGAUACAUGUUUGUUGAAGAAUUAAGUGGAAUGAAUUAUUAAGAAUACUUUCUGAGUAAAAGAACGGUGCAAUUGAAUAUGCUUUAUUGUUUCAGAAUAUACUGGUGUUGUAUUUUGCGAUACGGGAGUUUUAAGGUCUGGUUGGAGUCGGGGUGUUCUGGAGAGACCGCCCGUGAGUAGAUUCUCCUGGCAGAAGUGCAUCCUUCGUUGUGCUUACUCAGUCGCGAUGCUUGUGUUUCAGUCACAGCCGCCAGUUUCUGCAAAGGUUGUUCAGAUCCAGCUAGUACAUUUCUGUCUUUCCCGGUACCAGGCGGUUGUUACUGCAAACUCACUGGAAGGUUUUGUUUGUUUUUAUAGCUUUCAUAAAUGGGUUCAAGACCCUAAAACACAUCAUUUUGGGAGAUUUUAAGACAAGUUUGGAUAUUCUGCUUCAAGUGCGCGCACAAAUAUGAGAUUUCAGAGGUGUCGUCCUUACACGUUGAAUUUGGCAGCUUCAUCACAUACUAGUGGAAAUGAUUUCCAAAUGCCUGUUUGAAAAAUAUCUCUUUUAGAAGGUAAUGACUUUCUUACCCAAUUUUAAAAUUUCCCCUUUACCUGGAAGGGACAGAUUGUGAAUAUUUAUUUACCUGUUUGUUUACAAAUAUCCGUUAAGUAGCAUUCUACUGACAGGCAUUACAGAAAAAACCAGUUGCUGUUGAAUGAACUGUGACUCAUGGCCACCCCACGUGUGUCAGAGUAGGACUGUGUUCCAAAGGGGUUUUAAUAACUGAUUUUUCAGAAAUAGAUUGCUGGACCUUUCUUCCGAGGUGCCUCUAGGUAGACUCGAACCUCUAACCUUUUGGUUAGCAGCCGAGUGUGUAACCCAUUUGCACCACCCAGGGACUGCACUCAGUAGAGAAGAGAUCUGUAAAUCCUGGGACCCUUGUUUCCUGGUAAAAUAAAAAAAAAAAUGUAUAAUUCUUCUUUAAGUUGUGCAAUUCUUUCAAGUACUUUGCCAUGAGAUAGCUAGUGACAGUGUGGUCAGAUGAUUUUCAGGUCUCACCAUUUCAUUACAGAAGACUCAUUCAUUGUAUCGAAGAUGGUAUCUCUAAAUGUACUGCUAGACUGUAACAAAGUACACAGACAACUGGGAUGCCGCUGUCCAUCCCUCUGCAUUUUGGAUCUCUUACUCAGACACAGAGAUGCUUCUUGUACCUUAAAUGACUGUGACUACUCAACACACAGAUGGAAGGAGCACACCAGUGUCAGUUCAUAUACUAAAUAAUAAAGCAAACAGAACCAAUUGCCACUGAGUCUACUCUGACUCAUGGUGACCCCAUGCAUGUCAGAGUAGAACUGUGCUCCACAGGGUUUUCAAAGGCUGACUCUUUUUUUUGAAAGUAGAUUGCCAGGCUUUUCUUUUGAAGUGCUUCUGGGUGGCCCAUUUGUGCCACCCAGGGACUCCAUAUGAAAUAAUAGUGAAGUUUAACUUGUUAUUUUUAAAGAAAAAGUAAAUAUAAUUAGAAAUUCUGACGUUUCUCCUUCAUUCCAAUGAACCUUCUUGUGCAUGCCACACCAGAGACCAUUGCUCUAAUUGCUUCUCCUAUAUUGACCUCACUUCCUAACUAGGCUUUAAUCUACUUGAGGGCAAAGUUAGGUUUUUCUGUUGCUCAUAGUGCCUAGCAUAGUGCUGGCUUUCAUAAAUACUUGCUGACUGAACAGUGAAUGGAUCCAUUCUCUGUGACCCCAGUACUGUGUUGUCGUUGUGGAGUGCUAUUGAGUCAAUCCCAACUCGCAGAGAACCUAUAUUACAGAGAAGAACUGCCUCAUAGGGUUUCCUAGGCUGUAAUGUUUAUUGGGAGCAGAUCGUCAGGUCUUUUCUACCUUGGAGCCACUGGGUGGGUUCAAACCACUGACCUUUUGGUCAGCAGCUGAGUGCUUGACCACUGUGCCACCAGAGUGCCUUCCUAAUACUGUAAGAGUCUAUUUAUUGGACAGGAAAGUCUGGUAGCCAGAUUUCUUUGGUGGCCACUAGGUCCCAUUCUGUUAACAGUGUUGAAAGCUUUUAUGACAUUAGGGAAAAUAGCAUUGCAGUCUUGGUGUUGUUUGCCUCGUUCUGGAUCUGACAGGUACAAAGAUGGCAGCUACUCCACUGCCAUGUUGUGAUUUAGGAAGUAGGUGGUUGUGCUCAGAUGCUGCUCUGGAAAUGAGCUGGCAGGAACUGCAGAGCGGCAGAGAGAGCUGGAAGUGGAGGCCGGGGUAGCUAGGAUCGCCAGCUUCUGUCUUAAAGAGAGAAGCAAUAUGUCUCUAAGCCAUGGCGGCAUGUCUUGUCAUUCCAUUCCCCGUAUGCUGAAAAUGCUUGUGCAAAUGUGCACGCUUUGUGCUUCUCUAACACCUUGACAGUCGGGAGGUAUGUCAGCUGGGUAUGUACACUUGGAGCUGUUUUUCCAGUCGCCGUGACCAGAAGCACCAUUUAAGAGAUGAGUGCCUGGAAGGAGACCUGCAGGUUGUGCAGCGAACAGAGGCCUGUGUGCUUUUUGCUGCCGCAGAGACCAUUCCUGCUGGACUCUGUCGCUGAGCAAGGCUUGUCCCUGUUGUGUUACUCUUUGCUCCUUAGACCGCUAGCUAACAGUCAGCAUCGAUUCCUUCAUGCUCUUUUGUAUAGGCCCUCCUGUGUGAAAGGCACUCUGUCUGUUUCCCUUUUUGCGGUGGGGGUGGGAGAGGAAGGAGUAUGCCAGGGUGAACGAGACGUGGUCUCUGUCCUCAGGGAAUUGUUGGAUUAAUGAGGGAAACAGACACACACCUAAAACAGAAGACAAAGCAUGCAAAGGACGUGCAUGAAGUGUAAUGACUUGUUCUGUUAGCCAGAAGGGGUGGGGACCUGGGGGAUGUCUCGUGGAAUGUGAAGAAAAAGAAGAUCUGGUCUGGCUUGAGUGUGGCUGUGUCCUCCGAGCCUAUCACAGUGUCUGGCGUACGUAUAUCGGGCUCAGUAACAACCUGUGUGUUAAUGAGUGUAUGGUGAAGGAUGAGUAGGACCUUUUCUGAAAGUGUACAUGCAAAGGCAAGGACAGUGGAGGAAAUGCCUUGUUUGGAGAAGGUGGUCAGUGUGCUCCGAGGGGUGUAAGUGACAGAGACUGUUGUGUUGGGAAGUUAGGGCAGCCUUGGGAGGGCCUUGACCAGCUUUCCAAGGAAUUUGGAUUCAGUGGUUCUUAACCUCUUUUGUGCUAGUUCUCAUUAGGACUUGCAUGGAAACCACAGCCUGUUGCUCCAGGUGGGAAAAAAUCACGGGCAGCACACGUGCUUUUGCAUACAGCAUCAGGGGAUUCACAGCUUCCAAGGUAGAAAACCCUGCUGUAGGCUGUGAGGGAGUCCCUGGGUGGUACAGAUGGUCAACACACUCAGCUGCUAACUGAAUGGUUGGAGGUUCGAGUCCACCCAGAAGUAGAAAAAAGGCCUGGAAGAACAGCUUCAGAAGAAAGGCCUGGCAAUCUACUUUUGAAAAAUCAGCCAUUGAAAACCCGGUGGAGCACAGUUCCACCUGGACACAUGUGAGGACGCCAUGAGUCAGAGUCGACUUGACCGCAGCUGUAGAGUCAUCCGUCAAGUGCUCGUUGUUGUUGUUAGUUGUCCUCUAGUCGAUUCCGACUUAGGGCGAGCCCCACCCCCAGAAUCUCUGAGAAUUGACUCCCAGGAGCACAGGCUUUCUGGGUAGGGCGGGCGUGGAUGAGAGCAGGCCCGGUAGUGGCCCAUUCAGCUCGGGAGUCUCUGUGCUGCCGUAAAUGGAGAGACAAAAGCUUUACCUGGGAACAAAAUACAAAGAAGAAAAAACCUGUAAAAAAGUACUAAUUCACAAUAUGGAAUGCCUAUGCUAACUUUUAUUCGUAACAUGGUUUCCAGCUCAGGUACCCAGCUCAACAGUAAUUACAGUGAGGCUGUAUGUUGCAUUUCUGGGCACAGCAACUGGGGAAGGGAGCCAGUUUCAUAUCACAUGGUAUAUGGUUUGGAGAAUCCUUAGCUGUCCUGAUCCAUCAGGCAGGCCUGCCUGGAGAAGGAGGUGGCAAGAUUUUCACCGGCUGCUUGGAAAAGCAGAAAGAUUGGGCUGAGAGUGGUUUAAAUUUGGAUCAUUUUUGUUCCUGUUGCUAUAAAAAUUCUUAUGAAAAGUGUCUGUGCAUCUUCAGAAAAAAAAACCCUUUUCUUGUCCCCUAGGAGUUUAUAGUGUGUCAGCUAUACCAGUAGGCCAUUUGGAAAACAACAGUGUGGGCAGUAGGGUGUUGCCAUUUCUGCCUUUGUGUGUCACAGGUAAGUCUACUCUGGAGGGGAUGAGGUUGAGGAGUGGUGAGUGACGGCUGGGCUCAAAGCUGGGCAGCAUCAGAAGACAGUGGUGGAGGUGGGAGGGGAGAGCUCCGCAGGGACUUGGCUUGGGGACUCUUGGGGACAGCCAUUGCUUGAUGCAGCUCCCAGGGAAAUGACUUGGCCGUUGAUGCUCAGACUUUCCUCACCUCUGCUGACGUUCCCCACUCGUGUGCUUAGUGGGAGUUUGUUUUGCAGAAAGAUUAGUUUGUGAAGGAGUUUUAAAAGUGCUGUCAUGGAGAAAAGCUCCUCUCCCUUUUUAGACUGCUGGUCCAGAUGCCUUAAUGGGCGGUGAAAUCAAUUUCAUAGGUUGAGACCAGCAUUUUUUAAAAAAAGGAUUAUAAUAAAAAAUAAUGGAUUGCAUGGUACGUAGUAAGGAUGAGUAUGAUUGCAUGGAGCUUUGUUUCAGUUACAUAACUAAUUUACUGUUGCUGGGUGCUGUCAAAUCGAUCCUGACUCAUAGCAACCCCGUGUGACGGUAGAACUGCCUGACAGGGUUUUCUGUAAUCUUUAUAGAAGCAGAUCACCAGGCCUUUCUUCUGUGGAGUGGCUGGUGGGUUUAAACUGCCAACCUUUUGGUUAGCAGCCAAACGCUUAACCAGUGGGCCACCAGGGCUUUAUAGAACCUUACAGACAGAUGUGCAUAUACACAGGUGCCCAUACGUGUGUGUGCUGAGUCACCAUGUACAGCUUCUUGCUAUGUGUCAGGGUCUACAACAUUUGAGUAACCUCGUCUCAGAAGAGUUUUUUUGCUCUUAGAAUAGACAGUGGGUUCCGGCCACUUCCCCAGACCAUCUCCAUGGAGACAUAUGUGGUGAGAGGCCUCUUUUUUUAAACUUAAGAGCAGCCAGAGUCAGGCCCUUCCAGCAUGAUCCUGGGGCCAUCUGCAACUGCUUAUCCACGCCCUGCCCCUCCUCUGGUGCCUGGUGUCUCCCGCUGCAGAGGAGCUGGGGAGAGAGGCCAGGAAAACCCCAGCCAGGGUCAGAGCAGAGGUCCCUUUGGUAUGGGCCGUCUUCGCCUCCCUAGUCACCCAGGGUGUGAUUCCCUACGUGCAGCUUCUCUUUUCUCCUGUGGUUCCUGGCUUCGUUAGCUAUUUCCUUGUCGUUGCUUUUUUGUUCUUAUUUUGUUUCAGCAGCAGAUCUCCUCCAUCCCUGCAUGUCAAGGGCAGCACAGGGAGAGGAAGCCAUCCCAACUUGUGACUCUCCCAUGUUGUCUCUUUGUCAGGUUCUCACCAUCUGUGGGCAGAUUCCUGGUGAAUUGGAAUGGGCUGGCUGCCCCUCGCUGACUCCAUUAGAUCCACGGUUCCCCUGGCUUCAUCUCUGCCCCAAAGGAGGGGAGCCUUUCUUGGGUCACAGUUGCCUCACCUUCCAUCAACUGUGCAGGCUGGCCUGCCGAGCGCUGACCCACUUGUCGUACCUCAAAUAGAGGUUUAAAUUAGGACCUUUAAUCUGUAAGAGGCUUAUAGCCUGUUGGUGGCCAGCUGCCCUGGACUCCCAUGUGGGCAGAGCUGGGCUUUGCUUGGCUGUGUUGGGUUUAAGGAAUCAAGGGGGUCAGUGGCUUUGGAGCAGGAGCGACCAGAGGAGCAGACUCACUUGUAAGGCUUGGGGAUGGCAGGGAUCCUGGGGACAUGGAAUUGUUUGCUCGGCAUUCCUUUUGCUGUGGGUGCUAGUACAGAUAGCACCUCGGAAUGGGUGGAUGGGGUCUCUCUCUGGUGAUGGAAUGGACUGGUGGUAUGUCCUUGUAUGGCUGGCACGGGGAGUCCAGAAUUCCCUGGGCCUUGGGUGCUAGCUCUGCUUCCCCUGGGCACUGAGCCUAGUUCCUUUCUGCUGUGCAGUUAGCUCUGCUGGCUCAACAUGUGUUUUCAUUCCACACAUGUUUAUUAAUUAAGGGCUGUAUUCCCAACACGGUGCUAGGUGCAGUAGGGACACACAGAACCAUGAGGAUCAGGCCCUCCCUGAAGUUGCUCGUGGACUGUUUGAAGAGACAAGACUAGUGCAUAUCGAAGCAUUCACCCAUCCCAUGGACAGAUCAUAAUUUGGCUGGUUGCAGGUCAGUGUAGCAAAUGAUAAAGUUCCAAAGUCAAGGGCGUGGGGGUAAGUGUGAUUGGAGACCUGAGAAGGGAGUCAGCCCUUGAGUGGUCAGACCUGGGGCCUGAAUGGUGAAAGAAUUUAGGAAGAUAAGGAGAAGGAGGUCAUCGAAGGUAGGAGGAAUGAUGAGGACCGAGACAGGGAGGGUGGUCCUCUUCCGAAGUCAGAACCCUGGGGAGCCUCUCCUCCCCUUCCCACCUCCCCUUCCUUUUCUCAAGACAGUCCCAGUUUCAGUCCUAGAGACUCUUCCUCCGGCAGCAUGAAUCUGGUUCUUGGAUUUCCUUUUUCUCCUCCUCGUUAUCAUUACAACAGCAACAGCAAUGAUUCUUUGACUGAGUGCUUGCUAAGGACCUAUUGUAUGUACUUUACGCGGAUUGUCUCAUUCAGUCUUCACCGGAACCCCAGAUAGGUGUUAGAGAUUGUUGUGUGCCGUGUAGAGUUGAUGACACUGAGGCACACCAGCUAAUAACUUGCCCACGGUCACAUAGCGAUGGAGUCUUUGGGCCAGGAAGCCGCCUCUCGCCCCAAGUCUCAAGGCAGAACUUCAUGCAGACAGAAGCCCAUCUUCUUAAUUCAAACUUAUCUGAACAUUAGAAUCACCUGGGGAUCUUUUAAAAGCUCCAUAGUCCAGGCCACACACUCCAGGCCAAUUAAGUCAGCCUCUGGGGGUGAGACACAGGCACCGGUAGUUUUUGAAACUUCCCAGGUGAUCACAACAUCAGACAAGUUUGGGAAGUACUACCUUUUAUUUUUCUAUAAUUUAUUUUAUUUUUUGUUGUUGAAAAUAUACACAGCGGAAAGUACACCAGUUCAGCAGUUUCUACGUGUGCGGUUCACUACAUUGAUUAUAUUCUUGAAGUUGUGCAGCCAUUCUCACCUUCCUCUUCUGAGUCGUUCCUCCUCCAUUAACGUGAACUCAUGGCCCCUAAGCUUCCUGUCUGAUCUUUUCAGUUGCUGUUGUCAAUUUGAUCCCAUAUAGAUAGUUCUUCAAAAGAGCACGGUGCUCAAGGCAGACAUUUUUUUACAUUUUUUUAAAUUGUGCUUCAGGUGAAAGUUUACAGCUCAAGUUAAUUUCUCAUACAAAAAUUUGUACACGUAUUGUUUUGUGACAUUAGUUGCAAUCACCACAAUGUGACGGCACACUCCCACUUUCCACCCCGGGUUGCCCUGUGUCCGUUCAGCCAGUUUCUGUCCCUUCCUGCCUUCUCAUCCUGCCUCUGGAGAGGAGCCGCCCAUUUGGUCUUGUGUACCUGAUUGAACUAAGAAGCCACUCCUCACAAGUAUUAUUAUUCUUUUUACAGUUCUGUCUAAUCUUUGUCUGAAGAGUGGGCUUCGGGAAUGGUUUCAGUUCUGGGUUAACAGAGCAUCCAGGGGCCAUAGUUUCGGGGGUUCCUCCAGUCUCUGUCAGACCAUUAUGUCUGGUCUUUUCAUGUGAAUUUGAGUCCUGCAGCAAACUCUUCUCCUGCUCUGUCCGGGACUCUCUGUUGUGUUCCCUAUCAGGGCAGUCAUUGGUGGUAGCUGGGCACUGUCUAGUUCUUCUGGUCUCAGGCUAGUGUAGUCUCUGGUUUAUAUGGUCCUUCAGUGUCUUGGGUUAAUAUUUCCCUUCUGUCUUUGGUGUUCUUCAUUCUCCUUUGGAUAAAGUGGGAUGGGACAAAUUCAUGCAUCUUAGCCGCUCUCAAGCUUUUAAGACCCCAUAUGUGGGGCAGACGUUUUUUACUAGCUAAGCUAAACUUUAAUUUGGUUAAAGGUUUAAAGAUUAUCUCAGGGCAAUAGUUUCAGGGAUUCCUCCAGCCUCAGUAGCUCCAAAAUGUCUGUAGUCCAUGAGAUUUUGAAAUUCUGGGCUACCACUACGUUAACCUCUCUGUUUUAGUGAUCCUGAAUACCUGAUUGAAGGCAGUUUUAUCUAAGAUUAUCCAAAGCAUUGCCGAGGGGUCUUCCUCCAGGCCUGUCCUCAGGGUGUCUUUCUGUACCAUCUACCACCCUAUAUAGUGUAACUCCAGCCCCUUUUCUGAGGGAGCAGGACCCCUCCUGCCCUCAAAUCUGUGACUCCCAAAGAGUGAAGUUUGGAUGAGGUGGGCAGAGGGAGGGGUGUUCCCCCUGGGGCCUGUGCCCCUUUUCACUCUGAGUGCUGCCUUGGGGGCAAAGACUACUUUCAGAACCCUGGAGACACCUGACAAUGGUUUCCCGUCUCCUGCUUGCCUGGGCCCCUGACUUCAGUGGGAUGGGAUAGGGUCACACGAGGGCAGAUCUCUUCUUGACAAGUCCUGCUCGUCUCUGUCUGUCCCCAGGUGAACUUGAAAUGGACACGAAGAGCAGAGUCGUUUGGGUGGCUUGGAACAGCACUAAAUUUAGCAAAACUGUAGCUGCUGAGGGGCCAGCCUGUAGUGAGCCAAGCCAGCCCCAAGUGGACUAGAUUUAUGGUCAGUGACGCAGUUACCGUUGCCUCUACUGGAGCAAGUCUGUGGCUACACAGGCUCUUUCCGUUUCUAAGGCCCAGAAGCUUGUCAGCCCGUCCUGGAGGACCUGGGCAUCUAUGACCACCUCCCUGGUCCUGCCCCUUUAGACUUGGCUUAACCCCACUGCUGAUGCUGACCUGGGCUUUGGGUCUCCCAUCCCCCACUCAUGUUACUGUGGAAUUCUCACUUCAGUACUUUACCUUGGCCUACAAAUUCUUUCAUUGCUUUUGGUGGUGUUGCCAACCUUGACUCAAAAGGCCUGGAAGACAAGACCUGAGCUUUGAUAGAUUUUUCUCUUAGGGUAUUUGGCAUCCUCAGGACGCCUUUGGGUCAGAGCUGAUGAAUGGAGGAAGGGGAAGAGCUGGGAUGGCCCCUUGAACGAGGUUUUGAGGUACUUUCCAUCUUCCCAGAAAUCUGUAUGCCCAACGCCUGAGGUAAGUUGUGAUGGGGUGGCUGUGGGUGGGCUGUGAGACUCUGACGGCCAAGGAUUUCUCUUUGCUCGCUCAGUCUUCUGAUGUGGGUUGUAUCUGGGAGUUGAUAGGUUUUGUGGAAUUGAGAGUAGUGGGUCUGCUGGUAAGAACACCUUCCCCUUAUGGGCCUCUUCCCACUUCUCAGAUUUGAUACGCUGGUUUGCUCUAGGAGAGCCCCUUUUUCCUUAAUGCCCAAGGAGAUAAUGACCAGGCUGAAUUUUCUCAGCUCUUUCCAAUAUAGAUGGUAACACUGAUUAUGCAGGGCUGGGAUCUUUGUGACAUGGUUUAUUGGUAUAAGGCAGUCUCUCCCACCCAGCCCCCCAGGGUGUAUGGGGCAAUGCCUGGAGACAUUUUUGGUUGUCACAGCUGGGGAGGAGAGGGAUGCAACUGCCAUCUAUUGAGUAGAGGCCAGGAAUGCUGCUGAAUAUCCUGCAGUGCACAGGACGGCCACCUACAACAAAGCAUGCAUGCCAAAGUGUCAAAUAGUGCUAGGUUGAGAAACCCUGGUGUAAUCCACUACUGUUGCAUCAAAUCUGACUCAUGGUGACCCCUUGUGUUACAGAGUAGAGCAUAGGGUUUCCUUGGUUGUAAUCUUCACAUGUCACCUUGAAAGCUAAGGUGCGCCUGACCCAAGCCAUAGUGUUUUCAGUCGCCUCAUAUGCAUGUGAAAGCUGGACAAUGAAUAAAGAAGACCAAAGAAAAAUUGAUGCUUUUGAAUUGCGGUGUUGGCAAAGAAUAUUGACUAUACCAUGAACUGCCAAAAGAAUGAACAGAUCUGUCUUGGAAGAAGUACAACCAGAAUGCUUCUUAGAAGCAAGGAUGGCGAGACUGUGUCUCACAUACUUUGGACAUAGUAUCAGGAGGGAUCAGUCGCUGGAGAAGCACAUCACACGUGGUAAAGUAAAGGGUCAGCAGAAAAGAGGAAGACCCUCGACGAGAUGGACUGACCCAGUGGCUGCAACAACGGGCUCAAGCAUGACAAUAAUUGUGAGAUGGCACAGGACCGGGCAGUGUUUCGUUCUGUUUUACGUAGGGUCACUAUGAGUUGGAACUGACUCGAUGGCACCUAACAACAACAGAUCUUUACAGAAGCAGAUCUCCAAGCCUUCUGCAGCACCACUGGGUGGGUUCAAAUUGCCAACCUUUUUUUUUUGAUUGUGUUUCAGGUGAAAGUUUAUAGCGCAAAACAGUUUUUCAUUCAAAAACUUUAUACACAAAUUGUUUUGUGACGUUAGUUGCUGUCCCCACAAUGUGUCAGCACCCUCCCUCUUUCCAUUUCCACCCUGGGUUUUCUGCAUCCAUUUUUCCAGUUUUCCUGCCUUCUCAUCUUUGCUUUUGGGCUGGUGUUGCCCAUUUGGUCUUACAUACUUGAUUGAACUAAGAAGCACAUUCCUCACGUGUUGUUUGUCUUAAAGGCCUGUGUCUAAUCUUUGGCUGAAAGGUAGACUUCUAGAGUGGCUUCAGUUCUGAAUUAGCAGGGCGUCCAAGGCAUAGCCUCGAGGGUUCCUCUAGUCUCUGUCAGACCAGUAAGUCUCGUCUUUUUUUGUGAAUUUAAAUUUUGUUCUAUAUUUUUCUGCUGCUCUGUCCAGGACCCUCUGUUGUGAUCCCAGUCAGAGAAGGUGGCAUUGGUACCUGGGCAUCAUCCGGUUCUUCAGGGCUCAGACUGAUGGAGGCUAUGGAUCAUGUGGUCUGUAAGUCCUUUGGACUAAUGUAUUCCUCUUGUCUUUGAUUUUCUUCAUCCUCCUUUGCUCCUGAUGGAAUGGGACCAAUAGAGGUAUCUUACACAGAAUGUUUGCAAGCUUUUAAGACUCCAGAAGAUCCUCGAACAAAGUAGGAUGUAGAACAUUUUCUUUAUGAACUAUGUUAUGCCAGUUGACCUAGAUGUCCCCCGAGACCGCGGUCCUCAGUCCUCAGCCCCAGUAACUGGGUCCCUCAAGGUGUUUGGAUGUGUCUAAGAAGCUUCUAUGACUUUACCUUGUUCAGGUUGUGCUGACCUCCCUAUAUUGUGUGUUGUCUUUCCCUUCACCAAAGUUAACACUUGUCUACUAUAUAGUUAGUAAUUUCCCCUCCCCACCCUUUCCGUUGCUUGUAACCAUCAAAAAAUUGUUUUUUUCUAUGUGUAUACCUUUUCUUGGGUUUUUAUAAUAGUGGUGUCAUGGAUUGAAUUGUGUCCCCCCAAAAUAUGUGUCAACUUGGCCAGGCCAAGACUCCCAGUAUUGUGUGAUUGUCCUCCAUUUUGUGAUCUGAUGUAUUUAUCCUGUGUGUUGUAAAUCCUAAGCUCUAUGAUGUUAACGGAAGCCUUGGUGGCUCAGUGGUUAAGAGCUUAGCUGCUAACCAAAAGAUCAGCCGCUCAAAUCCACCAGCCAUUCCUUGGAAACCUUAGGAGGCAGUUCUACCCUGUCUUACAGGGUUGCUGUGAGUCGGAAUCACUCAAUGGCAGCAGGUUUGGUUUUUUGGUUUUGGUUUAUGAUGUUAAUGAGGCAGGAUUAGAGGCAGUUGUGUUAAUGAGGUAGGAUGCAAUCUAGAGAAUUAGUUUGUAUCUUGAGUCAGUCUCCUUUGAGAUGUAAAAGACAAGGGAGCAGAGAGGAGAGGGACCUCCUGCCACCAAGAAAGAAGAGCUGGGAGCAGAGUGCGUUCUUGCAUCUGGGGUCCCUGUGCUGAGGAGCUCCUAGACCAGUGGAAUAUUGAUGACAAGGACCUUCUCUUAGAGCUGACAGAGAGGGAAAGCCUUCCCUAGAGCUGGCACCCUGAAUUUGGACUUCUAGCCUCCUAGACUGUGAGAGAAUAAAUUUGUUUGGUAAAACUAUCCACAUGUGAUAUUUCUGUUACAGCAACACUGGAUAACUGAGACAAGUGGCCUCAUAUAACAUUUGUCCUUUUGUAAUUGGCUUAUUUCACUCAGCAUAGUGCCUUCCAGAUUCAUCCGAUUCAUCCGUGUCGUGAGAUGUUUUGGGGAUUCAUCAAUGUUCCUUAUUGUUGCAUAGUAUUCCAUUGUGUGUAAUUACCAUAAUUUGUUUAUCCAUUCAUCUGUUGAUGGGUACUUAGGUUGUUUCCACCUUUUUGCUAUUGUGAACAGUGCUGCAGUGAACAUGGGUGUACAUAUGUCUAUUCAUGUGACAGCUCUUAUUUCUCUAGGAUGUAUUCCUGGGAGUAGGAUUGCUGGAGAGUAUGGUAUUUCUAUUUUUAGCUUUUUAAGGAGGCCAUAUAUAUAUAGUUUGCUAUAGUGGUUGUACCAUUUUGGAUUCCCACCAGCAGGGCAUAAGAGUUCCAGUCUCCCCGCAACCUCUCCACCAUUUGUUAUUUUCUGUUUUUUUGAUUAGUGCCAGUAAUGUAGGAUUGAGAUGGUAUCUCUUUGUAGUUUUGAUUCACAUUUCUCUAAUGGCUAGUGAUUGCGAACAUUUCCUCAUGUUUCUGUUAGCUGCCUUAAUGUCUUCUUUGGUAAAGCGUCUGUUCAUAUCCUUUGCCCAUUUUUUAAUUGGAUCGUCUUUUCGUUGUGGAGGUGUUCGAGUAUUUUAUAGAUUUUAGAGAUUAGACCCUUGUCGGAUAUGUCGUAGGCAAAAAUUUUUUCCCAGUCUGUAGGUUUUCCUUUUACUCUUGGUGAUGGCCAACCUUCUGGUUAGUAGUUGAGCACAAACCAUCUGCAUGACACACGGAUCUCCUCACCCUGGUAUAGGGGAACAUUUUAUAGAAAUGGCUUUAAGUUGUCCUUUCGUUCAUUUGAAACCAGGAUCUGUCAGCUGUUGUCUUCUCCCUUUGUGCCCUGCUCCCCUUCUCCUCAGCAUUUACAGUGAACCCUGUUAGUGACAUACUCGUGUCUUAACAUGGUUAUAUUCUGGAAGUUUUUUCCAGGGAGUUGUUUAAGCCUCACAGGGUAUGUUUCCCACUAAAUACCACUCUGAGCAGAUAUGUAUUCCAAGCAGGCCUUAUAGGUGGGUUUGUGUUGCUAGUGCAGGUAAAUAAGCUAUGAACUUGACAUAUUAGGUGCUGAUAACCUUUGAAAUGAACUUCAAGGGUGACAGGGAAGCCAUUCCAGGCAAACAUCACGUGAGAAUGUUAGGAGUCUAGCCUGGAACUGUUUUUCUUUCUCUCUUGCCGCCACUGAGGUGUUUGCUCUGCCCUGCAGAACUGACUUCUGCUUGCUACGGUUCUCUAAAAGGUAGUAAACACACUCAUUGCACUGGAGGGCAUGAUGUUGCCUCCCUGAUAAAAGUUCCAAAACUGUUGCCUCAUCCCUCAGCCACCUAGUGCAUCUCCUGUCUGCCAACAGGAUUCUCCGGCAGUUGGCAAGGCUGAUUGAAGACCAGAAAAAGGAAAUGAGAAGUCUUCCAGAGUAAGGACCUUAGGUUGCACUAGAUAAUGAGGGGGUGUUCACUGUGUGUGGAUUCUAGAAUACGGUUGGUGACUGUUUUAAUUUCAGGAAAACUUUAAAGGACUCUUGAGUUGUGAUGUGAGCAGAACUUUAUGAUACGGGCAGAGAAGAGGUGAUGGGAGUGGUGGGGAAAGAAGUUGGCAGCCCAACGCCCUGGGAACUAAGGGGAGUUGCUGUCCCGGGAUGCGUUUGACAUCCUUGCCCCGGUUCACAUCCCCACGUUAUUCCCAUCUCUGGUACACUCGCUGCGUUUCUAUGUCUGCUGGGGAGGGGGACAAGUAUGUGUUGUGGUGAGCCCAUAUCAAACAGUUCGGAAAGUAGUUCUCAACUAAAACAACAACAAAAACCAAACUUGCUGCUGUCAAGUCAAUUCCGACUCUUGGCGACCCAUAGGACAGAAUAGAACUGCCCCGUAGAGUUCCCAAGGAGUAGCUGGUCGAUUCAGACUGCCGACCUCUUUGAUCAGCAGCCGAGCUCUUAACCACUGUGGCUUAGGGGAGUAAAUGACAUUUUACAAAUGACUUUAGGAUUACCCUUUUUUUUUUGAGUUUCCUGUCUGCCUGUUGUCGGAUGCCAUUGAGUUGAUUUCAACUCACAGCAACCCCAUGUUACAGAGUAGACCUACCCAUAGGAUUUUCUAGGCUGUAAUGGAAACCCUGGUGGCGUAGCGGUUAAGUGCUACAGAUGCUAACCAAAGGGUCAGCAGUUUGAAUCCGCCAGGCGCUCCUUGGAAGCUCUGUGGGGCAGUUCUACUCUGUCCUAAAGGGUCGCUAUGAGUCAGAAUCGACUCGACGGCACUGGGUUUUUUUUGGUUUAAUCUUUACAGGAACAGAUGGCCAGGUCUUUUUCCUGUGGAGCUGCUGGGUGGGUUUGAACUGCCAGCCUUUUGGUUAGUAGCUGAGUGCUGAACUGCUGUGCUACGAGGGCUCUUUCCUAUCCCCUGGGGAGAUCUCUGGGGAAGGGAUUAAACAGCAGGUCCUUGAUGCUCUUGGAGUGUCGGCUCACUGCUUCUCUUAUUCUCAUGUAAAGGACUGAGAUGAUGAUUGUGGGCUCAGGGAUCCAGGUUCUAGGUUACUGCUAUUUUAGCUGGCCACCAGGCUUUCGAACCACAAGCCUCAAAAGUCCUGUUCACUGAUGAUCAGUGUUUGAAUGGAUUUAACAGACCAGCAUGUGUCUAUUUAGAAAGUCACACCUGGUAGAGAAAGAACUUCCUGGUAAGCCUGGCUUGCUCAUCCCUGCCACAGGUCAGAGCGUGCCCAAGGGCAUGUUGUCUUAUUCCAUUGUCAGCUGGAGUGACUUCCUUAUAUACCAAGGCUGCCCACACCCAGCUGCUGUUUCCUGCCCUGGGUCAGGAAGCGUAGCUCACUUCUCUCCUGAUCACCUGGCAUCUUCCAGUCAUCCACCAACAUUCUGGAUUCUUUUGCCUUUGUUCCUGAGCUACCUCACAACUUAGCUACUACCUUGCUUCUAGAUCCUGAAUUUACCUUUGAGCUUCUGGCUUCUGCUUGGGCUUCCUGGCUUCCAGGCCUGGUUAUUUGCACUCUGCUGGAUACUGGAAAUCUAAGCCCUGGAUUGCUGGUUUGGAACGGUAUCCUCUCCUCUGUCCAUCAGUGUUUUUGGGUUUCACUCCCUUCACCCUGGACCCCCACCAGUUCUGGCUCAUUAAAAACCUUAGAAUAAAAAUCACUUCGUAUUUCAACAUGCGUUUCUAAAACUGAGUUUGUUUUUUGAGUCUUUCUCAUAGAACUUAAACCUUGACAAAUUAAUUCAGAGUUUUGAAAAGGUGUGUAUAUUUUAUAUGGUACCAAAGUUUUAUAGAGAAACAGCUCUGUAGUAUAUUAAAAUGCAGCAUGAAAGUGAUCAGAAAUGUAUAUAUAUCUUUAGAUUUUGUGAGCAGAGAUGGUAGGUACUAAAAUCUUAUUGUUGUCGAGGUAACAACCCAUCUGGAUAAAUGCCCAUUUUCUCUGAUAUAUCUUUUUCUUUAGCUUUUUUUUUUCCCAGUAAUUUUUUUAUUGAAGUAUAAUACAUACACAGAAAAGUGAACAAAUUGUAAGUGUUCAGCACAAAGUGAGGACACCGUGUAACAAACACCCAGAUCAAGAAAAUAAACAAAAUCACCAGGCCCCUCGGAAAAUGCCCCGUGCUUCUUUCCAGUCACUAACAGCCCCUAUGAUGGGAGCCACUGUUCUGACUCCUAAGAUCACGGAUGGAUUUUGCCUGUUGUUCAGGUUAAAUAAAUGGAGGCACGCAGUGUUGUCUUUUGCAUCUGGCGUCUUUCACUCAGCGUUUUGCUUGUGAGAUUCAUCCGUGUUGUGCGCCAGCGUAGUUUUCUUUGCUCAUGCUGUAUAAUAUUCUGUUUUAUUAGCUGAUCACAAUUUAUUUAAUCUCCUGUUGAUGGAUGUUUGGGUUUGGGUUUGCAGAUUUUGGGUAUUUUGGGUAUUACAAAUAGCGUUGUUAUGAAUAUGCUUGUACGUGUCUUUUGGUGAGUGAGUAUGUUUAUUUAAAAAACAAAAAACUUUGAUUCCUACUCAUGACAACCCCAUGUGUUACAGAGUAGAACUGCUCCAUAGGGUUUUCUUGUCUGUCAUCUUUACAGAAGCUGAUUGCCAGGCCUUUCUUCUGUCAUGCACAGGGGUGGACUAACCGGUGAGCAAGCUAUACACAGACUUACUGUAAGCAAGGUGCACACGAAUUUACCUGUGUUUACUUAGUAGUCUGUAGUGUACAUUUAAUUCCACAUGGUUGUGUACUACAGGUGAAAUUGUACAAUACAGAUUAGUAAGUAAGCACAAGUUAGCCCUGACUACCUUGCUUAUUGGGUAAUCCGUCCCUGGUUAUGCCACUGAGUGGGAUUUAAACUGCCAGCUUUUUAGGUUAAUACCAAACCAUUGCUGUCAAGUCAAUUCCAACUCAUAGCGACCCUGUAGGACAGAGUACAGUUGCCCCAUAGGAUUUCCAAGGCUGUAAAUCUUUAUGAAAGCAGACCACUACAUCUUUCUCUUGCAGAGCAGCUGGUGGAUUCGAACCGCCAGCCUUCAGUUAGCAGCUGAGUGCUUAACUACUGUGCCACCAGGACUCCCUUUUUAGGUUAAUAAUCAAGCGCCAACCGUUUGCACCAGCCAGGGACCUGAAUGUAGGUAUGUCUCUGUGUAUAUAUGUUAUAUUCCUGUUAGGUAUGUACCUACGAGUAGGAUUGCUGGAUCGUAGUUAUUUACCAAAGCAGUUGUGCCAAUUACUGUAUUUUUACGUAAAUAAUAUGUGCUUCCAUGUUUGUUUGCCAGUUGUAUCCUCCCUCAAGGUAUUUUUGUAAGCAUGCUAUACUAAUUUUUUUUACAGCAACAUGUAAAAAAAAUCGGCGUAGUGGCGUUUAUGAAAAUACUUUGCGGAGGGAGGGUGCAGCUGGCAAACAAAUGUAGAAGGCGUGUGCUAUUUGUGUAAAAACACAGUAUACGCCCACCAGAAAAGUAUGAAAGUUUUGGUUGCACUGCUCUUUGCCAGUAUUUGAUAUUCUCUUUCCUUUUCAUUGUACUCAUUCUGGUGGGUGUGUAGUGGUAUUGCCCUGUGGUCUGAAUGUGUGUUUUCACGGUACUGGCCAUUGAGUAUUCUUUCUGUGAAGUGCAGGUAUCCCCCGCUUUCCAAAAGUUCGAGUUAUGCCACUCGCUUUUAUGAAAGAGCUACGUUAGUACCUAUUUUUGCUAACUGAAAGAAAUUCAAAGAGGAUUUUCACUUUUACGAAAAAAAGUGCAAAGCAGAAAUAGCGUUCAGCGUUUGUUUGCAGCAAGCCAUUAAAGAGGCAGCGCGCACCCUGAGCAGCGAAAGUGGCUUCGCCAAGCUCCUUGCCCAGGAACUACAGUCAGCAUCUCAGCGUCAGCUGCCGUAGCUCUGAGCUUUGUCUGUGAGCAUCUGCAUGUUACCGCGAUUCAUCUUGUGUCCUAAGGUUUCAGAAAACCCUGAGAACUCGUAAGGGGUUUAUGUGUUACUUGGUAUGAUUUGGUAGGUUUAGUUGGGGUCUGGGAGUGCUCAAAAAAUUUUCCGGUGUAAAUUUAUGGUAAUUGCUUCUUCACUUUAUGGCCGUUUCAGCUUAUAAAAGGUUUCAUAAGAAUGCCCUAUUUUCAAGUAGCGGAGGAGACCUAAACCUGUUCAGGUUUUUGCCCAUUUUUCUACUGUGCUGUCUUCCUCUUUCUUACUGGUUUGUAGAACUCUUUACAUAUUGUUAGAUAUAUGUAUUGCAGAUAUCUUCUCCUCAGUAAGCUUUGGUGUCCUUGUCUUUAGUGCUAUCUGCAAGGCUAACCCAGUGAGAGCAUCAAGAUCAUGUAUAGUACUUGUGCAGGAAUCUUUUAUUCUUUGUUCAAAAAAAAAAAACAAAAAACCCAAA